CAAUAGCGUAUAUUAAAGUUGUUGCAGUUAAAAAGCUCGUAGUUGGAUUUCGGGGCAGCCUGGCUGGUCCGCCGCAAGGCGAGUACUGGUCAGCCGCCCUUCCUCUCGAAAGCCCCGACUGCUCUUCAUUGCAGUGGUCGGGUAGUUCGGGACGUUUACUUUGAAAAAAUUAGAGUGCUCAAGGCAGGCCUACGCCUGAAUACAUUAGCAUGGAAUAAUGGAAGAGGACCUCGGUCCUAUUUUGUUGGUUUCCAGGGCCGAAGUAAUGAUUAAGAGGGACAGUUGGGGGCAUUCGUAUUUAAUUGUCAGAGGUGAAAUUCUCGGAUUUAUGAAAGACGAACAACUGCGAAAGCAUUUGCCAAGGAUGUUUUCAUUAA
rnacentral:rRNA from 1 species